AAGUCGUAACAAGGUUUCCGUAGGUGAACCUGCGGAAGGAUCAUUAUCGAGUUUGAAGUGGGUCUUUGAGCUGGCUUUUCACGAAGCACCGUGCUCGGGCCCCGCUCCAUCCACUCAACCCCUGUGCACUUUCGAUGGCGUGGUCUCGUUGAGUGAUGUUCCAUUCAUUUGGACAUCGGAGGCCGCGACGUCGUCUUAUCACAAACUUAUUACAAUAGUCUUGUCGAACGUGGAUGCUCGUAAGGGCGGAAACACAAUACAACUUUCAACAACGGAUCUCUUGGCUCUC
rnacentral:misc_RNA from 1 species